GUAGGUGAACCUGCGGAAGGAUCAUUACCGAGAUUUGUUCCUGCUUGCAGGAAAUCUCCCACCCUUUUGUGUAAUUCAGAUUUUCAAUACUUUGGUAAAGCGUUUGUUGAGCAUAUGUGCUAAGCAACCAGUGACUUUUCUCUUACAAAAUAAAUUUUUUGGAAGUGGAGAGUGGCUGUGUCUUUGCCAAAGGAAACCCUCAACUCUUUAUUAUUAUUAUGUCUGAGUUUAUAAUUUUUAAAUUAAACAAAACUUUCAACAACGGAUCUCUUGGUUCUG
rnacentral:misc_RNA from 1 species